rnacentral:rRNA from 1 species
UACGUAGGGGGCGAGCGUUAUCCGGAUUUACUGGGCGUAAAGCGCGUUAAGGCGGUUGGCAAAGUUGGUGGUGAAAUCUCAGGGCUCAACCCUGAAACUGCCUCCAAUACUGGUCGACUAGAGUGUGAGAGAGGAAGGUGGAAUUCCCGGUGUAGUAGUGAAAUGCGUAGAUAUCGGGAGGAACACCAGUGGCGAAGGCGGCCUUCUGGCUCACAACUGACGCUGUAGCGCGAAAGCGUGGGGAGCGAACGGG